CAACAGGCCAUUCUUAUGGCCACACUUUUUUUAAUGGAUUUAUUCU
rfam:Ophiophagus hannah scaffold632.1, whole genome shotgun sequence.